CUACAGUGUUUUGGUGCAUCAUUUUUUCAGUCUGACCUUGCCGUGUUUAAACAGAACCUCACAGCUCUAGAGUCCCUCAACACCAAGCACAAGCUCUACUCUCGAUUUCAAAGCUCUGUGCUCUAUCCUUUCCUGCAACUAUUGCUAAGAGUACUCGUUCAGAAAUCACAUGAUCUGCUACAAGAAGAGAUGUGCUUGUGUGUGUACAACAUCACUGUUAAAAAUGGGGUGUUACGUAGCACACUAAUUUUAGUAGGUAGAAAUGUCAGUGGUGUGUUAAUGAACACACUCGUGUGUUUGUCGUGCUCAACAACACACUUGGAGUGUAAUAGAACACACUUGGGUGACACAACAGAAUGGUGUGUUACUGAACACACUGACAUCCAUACAGUGGUGUAAAGUAGCACACGAUAUAUAAGAUAUUAAGAAGGUCUUUUUACUUUUCAGAUACCAGAAUUAAUAUUUAUGUUCCACUUAGUACAGUUAGAUCACCAAGAGUGCUAAGUAUGUGCAAGUGAAAUAAGAGUUGAAAUGCAGUCCCUGCAAAUGCGUGAAACAACUUGCUAUCACUCUCAAAGGAAGCUUUAUACUUUGCAAACCCAGAAAUCCAGGUCCUAAAAGUAUUGCUAUAGUAUAUAGAAGCCUUCAAUGCAUGUAGAAUCUCUACAUGCAUGCUAUAUACUAGAGCUAAGUGGCUAAGUCCAGACCUUCUGUGUGCGCAUGCGCAUUGAGGCUAGAAGCACAUGUAGUGUGCUUUAAUUAAAAUCAACAAAAGACUCAAGAACUGGAGAAGAACUAAAUUUAGCUCUAUACUAACUGCACUGAGUAUUUAGCUUUCCUGAAGAAUAUACACUACUGCAGCACUUCAUGGAGCUUCCAAAGGCCAUUCAUGUGCCCAGAACUUGACCUCAUUUUUGACUUGAGCACUGGUUUGGGUACAGAAGUGACUAUUCUUUGGGACAUACUAACUGCUAUAAAUGUGCAGAAAAGUAUCCAGGUACGUGGAGUAAUAGAUAUGCUUACCAGACAUAAUUGUAUUUAUUAUUUAGGACAAGAUGACUUCAAUCAAAAUGUGCUACUGCUGCUGUGCACUCUUUCGUCAAAAAGGAAACAUGUGAUGUGCUGUCAUUAACAGUAAUGUGUUGUAAUAAUCCGUAUAACAUUUAAAUAGUUGUUCGUUGUAUAGAUGUGUUUUUGAUUUGUGUUAAAUGACUUGUACAUUUCGUUGAAAUUGCAAUAGCACCAAGCUAAAUAACAUAGAGCAACUAUACUAUAGAAGUAAUCUUACCGUCCUGAAAAUAACCAAGUUACGAGGUGCACAUGCACUGUAUAUAUGCAUGUGCUAGACAACCAUUAUUAGUGUGCUUGAAGGCACUGUAUGCAUGUGCUAGAUAACACACUUGCCAAUGUGUUCAGCAACACACAACAGUCUAUGUGUUACAAAACACCUUUAGGGGUGUCAAAUUUAAAGUGUCAUACCAACAUCCCAAAAGUGUGUUCCAGAACACAUCAUUUUUAACAGUGAUGGCGUCUGUGGACUUCAGUGUGUACCAUGAUCAGUUUCUGCCCAGAUAUGUGGAGGGGAGCAAUGGACUCAGCUCUGAGCAAGAGCAGCCAGCUGGUCAAACAAAGCCUACCGAGUAUUCCAAGAUUUACCAUCGUUUGACAAAACCUGAGACAGUUUGUGAACGACCUUCGCUACUUUGCCGUGCUAAACGCAGCUCUCCCAGCUGGCUCUAUCAAGCUAAGCUGAUAAGACAAUGAACUAUCAUCAUGGACUGACAAUAUUAUAAUGAACCCAAGCUGUCUAAAUAUGCAGCAUAAUUAUUUAUUUAGUAGCUAGCUCCUCUUUUCUCUUUUACUCAAUUGCUGUGAACUCAAUUCUUUGCAAUU